UACCGCUCCAAUACGACGAAUUUAAUUUUACACUAAUAGUCACUGGUAUAGCACACAAUGUUCUAAUAACUGAGUGCGGGAAAGCUUUUACCUGUGGACUUGGAUCAGUUGGACAGUUGGGACAUGGAGGGACAAAGAAUCUCAGUACACCAGCUCAAGUGACUGCUUUUGUUCGUGACAGGAUCAUAGUGAAUGCAGCUGCUAGUGUCUGUCAUACUAUCCUCCUCGAUUCAAAAGGUAUGUAAGUUUAUGGAUUUUUAU